rnacentral:rRNA from 1 species
UACGUAGGGUGCAAGCGUUAAUCGGAAUUACUGGGCGUAAAGCGUGCGUAGGCGGCUAUGUAAGACAGAUGUGAAAUCCCUGGGCUUAACCUAGGAACUGCAUUUGUGACUGCAUUGCUAGAGUGUGGUAGAGGGAGAUGGAAUUCCGCGUGUAGCAGUGAAAUGCGUAGAUAUGCGGAGGAACACCAAUGGCGAAGGCAAUCUCCUGGACCUGCACUGACGC